AUUGAACGCUGGCGGCAUGCUUUACACAUGCAAGUCGAGCGGCAGCGCGGGGGCAACCCUGGCGGCGAGCGGCGGACGGGUGAGUAAUGCAUCGGAACGUAUCCCGUAGUGGGGGACAACCCAGCGAAAGCUGGGCUAAUACCGCAUAUGCUCUACGGAGGAAAGUGGGGGACCUGCAAGGGCCUCACGCUAUGGGAGCAGCCGAUGUCCGAUUAGCUAGUUGGUGGGGUAAAGGCUUACCAAGGCGACGAUCGGUAGCUGGUCUGAGAGGAUGAGCAGCCACACUGGGAGUGAGACACGGCUCAGACUCCUACGGGAGGCAGCAGUGGGGAAUUUUGGACAAUGGGGGCAACCCUGAUCCAGCCAUGCCGCGUGCGGGAAGAAGGCCUUCGGGUUGUAAACCGCUUUUGGUCGGGAAGAAAGGGUUCACCUUAAUACGGUGGUCUGUUGACGGUACCGGCAGAAUAAGCACCGGCUAACUACGUGCCAGCCGCCGCCGUAA
rnacentral:rRNA from 1 species